rnacentral:rRNA from 1 species
GACGAACGCUGGCGGCGUGCUUAACACAUGCAAGUCGAACGGACAGACCCUGCUUUUGUGGGGUGCUCGAGUGGCGAACGCGUGAGUAACACGUGAGUAUCCUGCACCUAUAUUUGGGGUAACAUCACGGAACUGGGGAUCAUACCGGAUAGGAGCUUCUGCUGCACGGUGGGGGUUGGAAAAUUUCGGCGGUUGGGGCUGGACUAGCGGCUUCUCAGCUUGUUGGUGGGGUAGUGGCUUACCAAGGGUUUGACGGGUAGCCGGCCUGAGAGGGUGACCGGCCACAUUGGGACUGAGAUACGGCCCAGACUCCUACGGGAGGCAGCAGUGGGGAAUCUUGCACAAUGGCCGGAAGCGUGAUGCAGCAACGCCGCGUGCGUGAUGACCGCCUUCGGGUUAUAAACCGCUUUCGCCUGUGACGAAGCGUGAGUGACGGUAAUGGGUAAAGAAGCACCGGCUAACUACGUG